AGAGUUUGAUCCUGGCUCAGGACGAACGCUGGCGGCGUGCUUAAUACAUGCAAGUCGAACGGAUGUAGCAAUACAUCAGUGGCGGACGGGUGAGUAACGCGUGGGCAAUCUGCCCUCUAGCCUGGGAUAACAGUUCGAAAGGACUGCUAACACCGGAUAUGGUGGCAUCGAGGCAUCUCGAAGCCAUGAAAGUUUACACU
rnacentral:rRNA from 1 species